UACUUUCUUUUCAUAUUUCAACUUUAUUUAAAAUAUGAGGUUUUAUGUCCAGAAGGGAGGGCAGUUGCCCAUGGAAGGUGAAGUGAGGCACAAUACUAUUGGGUUGCGGGCCAAGUACACAGGGUUGCACUGUGAAGGAACUGAGGAGGUUCUGGGAGGGCCUGGUGACAACAAUGGAUUUGGGGAGAUCCACAAAGGAAAUUUUCAUUUCCUCCCCAGGUUAGCUAUUCAGUGGGUGGAUUAUUCAGUCUUUUUAGCAAGGUCACUGCUCCUUAGCAACAUCAACAAAAGUGCCAAAGCUGAGGACACAGAGAAUACCAUCAUUGUCUUUUGUUUCUCUUUAUGCCUGGAUGGGGAAAGGAAUGGAAACUAAUAGCAGAAAAUGAAACAUUUCUGAUGUUAUCCCUUGCCAUGAAGAAUCACGGGCUUGUGUAGAGACCUCUUUCUUUUCUUUUUUUUUUUGAGGGUCUCACUGUCACCAAGCUGGAGUGCAGUGGUGCGAUCAUAGCUCAGUAACCUCCAACUCCUGGGCUCAAGCGAUCCUCCUGUCUCAGCUUCCUGAGUAGCUGGGAAUACAGAUGUGUGCCACCAUGCCCAGCUAAUUUUAAAAGUUAAGGUUUUAAAUUUUGUUUUUAAAGAGGAAAAAAAAUAUAACAUCAUGGUUACACAGAGGCUCUGGAGAUUCCCUGGGUUCACAAUCCUACUUCUGCCAUUUACUAGCUGUGCGAUCUUGAACAAAUUUCUGAGCUUCUCUGAGCCUGUUUCCUCAUCUCUAAAACAGAGAUAAUGACAAUGUUCUACUUACAGGGUUGUUUUGGGCAUGCAUGCAAACAAAACAGAUUUUAUGAUCGAGUCAUAGUUCUGGAAAGGAAGAAAAACCCAGAUUUGCGCACACAAGUGUUAAGUAAAUGUGAGCCCUCACUAUUGUUCAUACAACAUGGCAGUGACACACAUACAUUAGACAAGAGAUUAUUACACACUGAGCCUCCACCCAGUCUCCCUAUUAUCCUCCCAUGGGCUCCUAAUUGAUGACUAAACAGUGCAUUGCUGGGUGGCUUCCAGUAGUUUCUUUCUUCACUUUGCUGCAACUUUGAACUGAAGGUGAUCCACAUGGUACAUGACAUUCUUCCUGUUUUCUUCACAAGACAAGGAUGAUGUUUAAAUGGGCAUUUGUUUGCGGAAUGACUUGGAGAGUUCCUCUCUUUCAGCCAUCUUUUCUCAAAGACUAAGGCUCUGGGAGAUCCUUGUUCAUUUGUAACAUCAGGAACUGCUUCUUUUCCUCCUUCUCUCUUCUAGAAGACUGUCAAGGAGCCCGAGUGAGGGAAGCAGACCAACCAUGGUCUUGGAGAAAAGAAAAUAGGGUUUCCAUCCCUUCUUUUUUUUUUUUUUUUUUACAACCAAGUGGAUUGAUUGAAAUGCUUUGAUUCUUCAUUUGAAAUGUUUCUAUUCCAUAUACCCAUUAUCUUUUAUCCUCACAAAAGCCCUUAACAUUGUUUCCUUUAAUCUUUGGGGUUCUUAAGCAUCAUUUCCACCAACAGAGAUGUACCUACCCACAGUUGUCUCAGAGCAUGGAGGCUGAAAGUCUGUGAGGACAAGAGUGAAAUGGAGCAGAGGAUAGGCUGUGGUUUGGAAGCGGCUCUGGAAUACGCUGGGGGUGGCGGUGGGGCUGAAGGUUGGUUAUGGGAUGCUUCCUGGGCUCCGGAACAUCUGUGCCAAAAACUGGAGGACCCAUCCUCGGCUCCAGCCAGACGCUUGGGGUGCUAUGUAUUCUGAACCAUAGCACUAGGUUGGAAAAUUUGGCUCCUAAUCUAUACUCUGCCAUGUACAGAUCACAAAAUAUCAUACAAGGAGCCUUAAAAGGUCAUCUAACCUAAAUCCAGUUUCCCAAGGAGAACACUGGGGCACAAAGAAGUGAGAGGUAACUCGCCCAAAGUUAUAUAGCUAGUCAGGGACUUCCUCUUCGGAGACAAAGGAAAUCAGAAUAGUGAUUCUUCUGAUUCACCGUCCCUCGACAAACAGUCCACAAAGUGCU
rnacentral:lncRNA from 1 species